AUAACAGAUUAAGUUAUUAAGGGCGCACGGUGGAUGCCUUGGCACUAGAAGCCGAAGAAGGACGUUACUAACGACGAUAUGCUCUGGGGAGCUGUAAGUAAGCUUU
rnacentral:rRNA from 1 species